ensembl:lncRNA
AUUAUGGGAUGGUGUCAGUAUCCCUGGGAGAUGUCUCUCCAGAGUCAAAAACUCCCCACUGCAAAGAACCAAUUAAAGCAGAGGCCCAGGAUGAUGAAAGGCCACCUACCUUCACCGGUUUGAAAUAUCAUCUCAGUUCUGUCUGCAACCCAAUGAACAUGAACAAAGAGCCUCUGGCACUAUGUGUCUCAGAGUGGAGGAUUACUAUACUCUGCGAAGGGGAAAAAAGAGAGCGGAAAUCCCUGAAUGGAGUGACGCUAACAAUUCCAGAACUACUUCUCACUCCAAGAAAACCAUUACACCAUCUGUGGUUUUUACUGAUAGGGUCCACAAAAAAGAAACAGUACAGAUGCUUGAGUCUACACAUCAAUUGAAUCUAAACCUCCAAAGUCAAGGCAUCAUAUGGUUUUAUAUAUAUAUAUAUGGAGUUGAGGGAAAUCCCCUCAAACAGUAUGUUCAAAUAAUAUUUAAAAAAAAAUGCUUUAUGUCAUAAGUAACAUAAAAACUAUGUUAAUGUUGAUUGUUUCAAUUAGUGUCACUCUAUAUGCUGAGUAACAG